rnacentral:rRNA from 1 species
UGGGGAAUUUUGCACAAUGGGGGCAACCCUGAUGCAGCGACGCCGCGUGAUUUAGAAGGCCUUCGGGUUGUAAAAAUCUUUUGUAUAGGAAGAAAAUGACAGUACUAUACGAAUAAGGUCCGGCUAAUUACGUGCCAGCAGCCGCGGUAAUACGUAAGGACCGAGCGUUGUCCGGAAUCAUUGGGCGUAAAGGGUACGUAGGCGGUUAAAAAAGUUAGAAGUGAAAGGCUAUAGCUCAACUAUAGUAAGCUUUUAAAACUGUUUAACUUGAGAGAUGGAAGGAAAAGUGGAAUUCCUAGUGUAGCGGUGAAAUGCGCAGAUAUUAGGAGGAAUACCGGUGGCGAAGGCGACUUUCUGGCCAUUAUCUGACGCUGAGGUACGAAAGCGUGGGUAGCAAACAGG